UCACUCAGAGACUGAAACAAACCCCUCCCCCCCCACCAAAACCUAGUUGCCACACCACCUAAUCGUCCAACACCCGGUGACAACAUUGUCGGUGACCACCAAACCGAGACCCCUAAACCUCCAAACCAACCUUUCCAUCAAUGUUUGAUUACUUUAAAUCAUCCCAGGCCGUAUCGAAUAUUCAAUUGAAAAUUCAAGAAAAACCCUAAGGCCAACCAACCAGUCCCAAAUUCACAUCACAGCUCCACCAGACCUCCCCAGUCCCAAAUCACACUACAGUUUCGCUCGAAUCACGUCGGAACUAUUCAAAUCCCAAAUCGAGCAAACUAACUCUAAUACCAAACCUAGAGGCAGUCCGAGAGAAAAUUAGGGUUUUAAUCAACUUCAGUCGAGUGUUCUUAGUCAAGAACACCCAAUUAUAGUCCAUCUUGGCCUCAGAAGUUUGAGUCAAAGUCGAUGAGAAGUACAUGAGGUUUCUGAUUUUUGAGGUAUUUCCUCUCUUUGUCUGUUUUUUCUUUCUUUGUAGUUUAUCUGUUUAGGUCUCAUUGUAUUUUGUUUGAUUGAUUUUUCGUUAUUUUUGUCAUUUAUCUUAUUCUUCUCUUCUGGACCUUUUUCUUGGUUCGAAUUUUCUGAUUGUUGAUUAUAUGUUAUAAAUUGCUUAAUCGAUUGAAUAAUUUUUGUCGAUUAGUCUAUUAUGUUUGAGUGUUUGAUUAACGUGAUAUUAGUCUAUUCUUGGUUUUGAUUUAAUAGCUCAUUCCAGUAUGUUUCCCCUCCGGCUACGUUUCUGUUCUAAUUUGUGUUGAAAUGAGCCUGUUGGUAUAUUUAAACUUAGAACUGAGCAUGUUGGUAAUUAGUUGAUCACACUGAACUGAAUUAAUCGUUCAUUUGUUAUCAUAAAUCUAUCAAUCCCGUUAAAAAAAAUUCUGGCUGUUUCUUCUUUUGUUUUCCAAUCCAAUUAAGUGUAUGUUCGUCUAGUUGGUUUCAGUUCACUUGUUUUUGAGCUAAAUAUGAUUGGUUUCCCAAUAUAGUUAGCUUAAUAUGUGCUGAACUAAGCCUUUAGUCUUCAUUGUUGAUGACAUUUGAUUUGAUCUUCUACUUUGCAUUACUGAUUGAUUGAUAAAUAGAAUUUGUUGUACCUGUGGUUUUGGUACAGAGUGAAGAAAGAUUGGGAUAGGCCAUUAGUUUCAGUGAAUCACGGGGGUAAUUUGGGGGUAUCAAAACUAGAAAAAUGCCUUACCUUGAAUAGCUAUUAGUAAGGUACUAAUGGAUCAUUAAACUAAUAUUUGUUUAAUGAAAGUAGGGAAGAAGAUAUAAUAGUAGGGGGCCACUAAGUAAUAACUAGGACUGCAAUGGGUAAUGGGAGUAAUAAUCUGUUGAAUGCUUUUUACUAAUUUGGAAAUCACAAACAGUAAGUAAUAAUGAAGAGCCAAAAUAUACACAUAGUAGUGGAAUAUAGAAGCUGGAAAGUAAAAAGAGGCAUGGGCUAAUAAUAAAAGUUUUUUUUACAAAUGUAAAAGGAAAGAAGGGCUGGAAAAGGGGGUCUGGUUUGGGAUAUAAAUGAGAGGAUUUAGGAUAGAGUUUGAAGUAGGAGAACGAGAAUAAGAGUUUAGAGUCGAAAACAUAGAAAAAAAGAUAGACUUUGAAAGGAACUGGAACGGGGGGUAAGAGUUUUGAGAGUUAGAAACUGGAGAGUUUUGGUCAGUCUUUGAAGAGGUCAUGGAAUCAGAUUGUUUCUUUGGUUAAAUCAGCCUGAGAGAGCUUAUUUGAGCUUUUUGCAUUUGAGUGUUUUGGUCUGGUUGCAUUUUGUUUCUGUUGAGGUUGCCUUGGUUUGUCUGUGAAGCUGUUUUGGUCAAAACAACUCCUGUUUUGGUUGACUACUGUUGGUUACUUGAUGAUUGUUGUUUGGUUUAUAACUUUCCUGGGUUUUCUUGAGUUUGAUUGAGUUGUUGCUGCUGUUAUAUAACUGUUACUGGUGCUACUGUGUUACCGCUGCUGCUUACUUCUUUUUCCUUCUUCUAUUGUUAUCAUCUAGGUAUUUCCUUUGAUCAAGAUAAGCUUUGAUGAAGCUAUGUAUUUUUAUCUGAAGAGAAAUAAAGUAAAGAGUUAUGUGAAGUGGGAUCGUGAGUUUGGUUCACUUUCCGUUCAGUUAUAAUGUGUAAAAAUGGCUUGUUUACCUGAAGUUAAUGUAGUUUGUAUAAAUGGAUUAGUUUAGGGCUGUUUUUGUAAGUAAUAGAAGGACUGUGUAGUGAUUACUUAUCGGACUUGUAUUAUGAGUUGACUGUUUGAUUUAGUUUGUGAUUGAAAAAAUGGGUUCGAAAAAUGGCUAUUAGUUUUAGUAGUUAGUUCCAGUUAGUUUCAGUAGUUAUAAAUAGGCUUGAAUGGUUUUUAGUCUCAAUGUGUCCUUCAACAAUUCUAUUAGGAAUUCGUGAGUCAUUAAAGUGGUCAGUGUUAGUUUCCUUUUUUAGUGACAGCUCUUAAGCAUUGAUCUGUUUCAAUAAUAGUAAAAAACAAGUUCAAAUA
rnacentral:lncRNA from 1 species